GAUGAAGAACGUAGCGAAAUGCGAUACGUAAUGUGAAUUGCAGAAUUCAGUGAAUCAUCGAAUCUUUGAACGCAUAUUGCGCUCUUUGGUAUUCCGAAGAGCAUGCUUGUUUGAGUAUCAGUAAACACCUCAACCUCUUCUUGAUUUUUCAAAAGGAGGGUGGACUUGAGCUAUCCCAACAACCUUUACCGGUCGGCGGGCGGCUUGAAAUGCAGGUGCAGCUGGACUUUUAUCUGAGCUAAAAGCAUAUCUAUUUAGUCCUCGUCAAACAGGAUUAUUACUUUUGCUGCAGCUAACAUAAAGGAUAAUUGUCCUCUUUGCUGACUGAUGCAGGAUUAUACGACACUUUAUGUGUUGUUCAACUCGAUCUCAAAUCAAGUAAGACUACCCGCUGAACUUAAGCAUAUCAAUAAGGGAGGA
rnacentral:misc_RNA from 1 species